UAGGGAAUCUUCGGCAAUGGGGGCAACCCUGACCGAGCAACGCCGCGUGAGUGAAGAAGGUUUUCGGAUCGUAAAGCUCUGUUGUAAGAGAAGAACGUGUGUGAGAGUGGAAAGUUCACACAGUGACGGUAACUUACCAGAAAGGGACGGCUAACUACGUGCCAG
rnacentral:rRNA from 1 species